CCUAUGUGUCUUUACUAACAUCCAAUUUUGGAAAAAAUUGCAUGUCAGAUUUUGCUGUUGUCACCCUCUCUCCACCUCUACUUAAAUGUGCUUCUCCUCCUUUUCCCCCCCACUCCAGCAGUUAGACAAUCACAACAAGAUCAGUCUCAAAUACUAGAAAUUUGAAAGAAAAAAAAAGGCUUUUCAUUUGCUUUGUAGAGUUUCACAUUCAUUGAAAAUCAGCAUAUUUUAAAGAGCUUUUAGCAUGGGUGAGGAGAAGAAAGAAGAGAAAAAGGAAGAAGAGGCUCAAGAUAUAGUGCACUGUGAAGGCUGUGCUAGAAAAGUUGCUAGAGCCUAGAAAAGUUGCUAGAGCCUUGAAAGGCUUUUUGAUCCUCCAUGAGAAGUGUAUAAAUUUUGUAAAGAAGGUACUGGCCAAAAUAGAUCCUCAAAUUUUAGGCAUUUACCCCAUCUCAAAUGUAACUAGGUAGAAUUAGUCAUUUUUCAGUUAAGUAGGGAAUUAUGGCUCUAUUUCUACCUCAAAUCAGAUGUAAUGGUGUUUUGAAGAUGAGUAAAAUGCUCCGUUAAUUGAAAAAAAAAGGGUCUAAUUUCUCUCUAA